rnacentral:rRNA from 1 species
UACGAAGGGGGCUAGCGUUGCUCGGAAUCACUGGCGUAAAGCGCACGUAGGCGGAUUGCUAAGUCAGGGGUGAAAUCCUGGAGCUCAACUCCAGAACUGCCUUUGAUACUGGCGAUCUUGAGUCCGGGAGAGGUGAGUGGAACUGCGAGUGUAGAGGUGAAAUUCGUAGAUAUUCGCAAGAACACCAGUGGCGAAGGCGGCUCACUGGCCCGUACUGACGCUGAGGUGCGAAAGCCAGGGGAGCCAAAGCGGG